ACGGGAGGCAGCAGUGGGGAAUAUUGCACAAUGGGGGAAGCCCUGAUGCAGCGACGCCGCGUGAGUGAAGAAGUAUUUCGGUAUGUAAAGCUCUAUCAGCAGGGAAGAAAAUGACGGUACCUGACUAAGAAGCCCCGGCUAACUACGUGCCAGCAGCCGCGGUAAUACGUAGGGGGCAAGCGUUAUCCGGAUUUACUGGGUGUAAAGGGAGCGUAGACGGCGCGGCAAGUCUGAAGUGAAAGCCCGGGGCUUAACCCCGGGGCUGCUUUGGAAACUGCCAUGCUGGAGUGCUGGAGAGGUAAGUGGAAUUCCUAGUGUAGCGGUGAAAUGCGUAGAUAUUAGGAGGAACACCAGUGGCGAAGGCGGCUUACUGGACAGUAACUGACGUUGAGGCUCGAAGGCGUGGGGAGCAAACAGGAUUAGAUACCCUGGUA
rnacentral:rRNA from 1 species